UACGAAGGGGGCUAGCGUUGUUCGGAUUUACUGGGCGUAAAGGGCGCGUAGGCGGCUUAUCAAGUCAGGCGUGAAAUUCCCGGGCUCAACCUGGGGGCUGCGCUUGAUACUGAUUGGCUUGAAUGCGGGAGAGGAUAGUGGAAUUCCCAGUGUAGAGGUGAAAUUCGUAGAUAUUGGGAAGAACACCGGUGGCGAAGGCGGCUAUCUGGCCCGUAAUUGACGCUGAGGCGCGAAAGCGUGGGGAGCAAACAGG
rnacentral:rRNA from 1 species